CAAUCGCUCAAGUUGCCAUAGAAUUGUUCCUAAACUGCAGUCUUUUCUUUAUUUUGUCCCCACUCCUCUCUCCCUCAAAAUCAUAGCAGAGCCUGAAAGUACUAUUAAUCCCUUCUUAUUUACAUUUACUGUUUCUUUCCCAUGAAUAUAUGAAUGUUACUUCCUGCUUGUCAGAACAUAGAAAUGAGAAUUAGGAGAAAUCAGGGAAAGGAUGUUUCUUUAAUAGUUCUGAUCUGUUUUCCAUGUGGCAACAUUAUUGAGAAAACUGACUUGAUUUGGUCCUAUGCUAUAUGACUUCAAAUGCAGCUUUACCAGUUAUGGUCGAGACUAUAUCAAGAAAAAUUCUGGAGCAUAUAGCUGAGCAGUGCCUUAUAUGUUGUGAUGUGGGUAUACCCUGCAAUGCUCGGCAAGCCUGUGAUGACCCCUCUUCUCUCAUUUUCCCUUUCCAGGUUGGCAGGGUUUAUCUUGUUUCAUUUAUUGAUAUUUGUUUCUUAUUAACAUACUGUUUGGGAAGUUGAAGUUAAUUAAUCAGACUUUUCAACCAUUCUGCACUGCAUGUUCCAAAAGAAUUUAGCUCAAAUUCUAAAAGUUUGACUUUUUUUAAUAAAGGUGAAUAAUUUUAUCUGAAAAGGUUCAAAAAUACCCCUAAACUAUCUGAAAUAGCUCACAUUUACCUUUAAACUAUAUUUUGGCUCAAAACUACCCUUCUCGUCAAAGUAUUGGGUCACACUUACCCUUCUAGUUAACAUUAGUAUGUUAAGUGCCACGUGGACGCUACGUGGACGCCACAUAAGCGCCAAACAUUUCCCACUUUCAUGUAGACUAAUAAGAUCCCUAAUUUCUAAUUCACCCAUUUCCCCUCAUUUCUCUUAAGAUAUAUUUCACCCAUUUCCCCUAAUUUUCCCCUCAUUUCUCCAUUUCCCUUACCAUAUUCACUAUGGUUCUGUAUCUAAUGCUAUUAAUAUUGGGUACUGCAACAUGCAGCAGCCUCCCUAAUCCUAUGAUGAGUGAAUGCAAAAAGGCAGAAAAUGUGAUCGAUGAAAAUCAUUUUUUUGUGUUCGAUAGUCAUAAAUUAAUUUUUCCUAUCUAGACAUUCAACUUUAUAUUAGUACAUAUUUUAAAACAUCACUUAGAUAAUUGUUAAUUACUCCUAAGGGAAAUGGAGAAAUGAGGGGUGAAAUGUAUCUUAAGAGAAAUGAGGGGUGAAAUGUAUCUUAAGAGAAGUGAGGGGAAAUGGGUGAGUUAGAAAUUAGGGAUCUUAUUAGUCUACGUGGAAGUGGGAAAUUUUUGGCGCUUAUGUGGCGUCCACGUGGCACUUAACAUACUUCUGUUAAUUAGAAGGGUAAGUAUGACCCAAUACUUUGACAGGAAGGAUAGUUUUGAGCUAUAGCAGAGCCUGAAAGUACUAUUAAUCCCUUCUUAUUUACAUUUACUGUUUCUUUCCCAUGAAUAUAUGAAUGUUACUUCCUGCUUGUCAGAACAUAGAAAAGAGAAUUAGGAGAAAUCAG
rnacentral:lncRNA from 1 species